UACGUAGGGUGCAAGCGUUAAUCGGAAUUACUGGGCGUAAAGCGUGCGCAGGCGGUUUUGUAAGUCUGUCGUGAAAGCCCCGGGCUCAACCUGGGAAUUGCGAUGGAGACUGCAAGGCUUGAAUCUGGCAGAGGGGGGUAGAAUUCCACGUGUAGCAGUGAAAUGCGUAGAGAUGUGGAGGAACACCGAUGGCGAGGGCAGCCCCCUGGGUCAAGAUUGACGCUCAUGCACGAAAGCGUGGGGAGCAAACAGG
rnacentral:rRNA from 1 species